CCGCAGCAAACAAGAGGACCUUGCCUCAGGCUAGAGAGAUGGCUUAGCAAUUAAGAGCAUUUAUCAGGAGAGCCUGGGUCAAUUCCCAAGCACACAGAUCCCAGAGGAUCUCACAACCUCUUUUGGUCAGACAAAAAAGCUAUACACAUACAACAAAUCAAGGAAGACCAAGACAGAGACACAGUCGGAGUUAGACGCAGAGUCAGAAUCAGAGACCGAGACAGAGACCUUGCCUCAAACAAGGUGAAAGGAGGCAAGGACCAACACCCAAGAUUGACCACACACUUCACACCUACACUCAUUCAUGUCACUCAUGCACGUGCACGCACACACACACACACACACACACACACACACACACACACACGCAGAAUAAUAUAUCAUAAAGGAUAUGAAUUAAGGUCCAGUGAGGACUUUGUGAUCUCUAGGAAGAAGAAUUCGAUAAGAGACAUUCUAACUAGGAAAAGGGGGAAAUAGAAUGACUUUUUAAAAAUUGCUCAGUCUAAAAGAACAGAAAAAGAGCUGCCAGCUUUGGUGUUGUACUGCUGUAAUCCCAGUACCUGUGAGGCACAAGGAAGAGAAACACCAAGUUCAAGGCCAGCUUUGUACGGAAAUGGAGAAGGAAAGGAGUUGCCUGAGCUCUCAGGCAGUGCAAGGACAGCUGCCAGGAAGCCAAAUGCCUGUGUAGAGAUGAGUCAGAGGUCUGCCCUGCCUCUCCAGUCUCCCUCCAGGGAGAGACAGGAAAGUGGUUUGAAGGGGAUCACCACCUGCACAUACUUUUGUGGUUCAGUGUUGUGGCACUGGCAAAGGCCACUGCCCCUUCUCCAAGAAAAGGAGGUUUCCUUAAGGACUCCAUAGCCGAAGUCUUAACCAGGUGGAGGGAACAGAAGGUGCAGGUGGAUGCUUGCAGGAUGGUUCAAGGGGUUCAGUGAGGUUCAUAUCUGUGUUGGUUCAGGUCCUAGAUCUACUCUGUGGGCCCUUGCAUUGUCUAGUCAUCCCCCCAGGACUUGUAUCAAAGCCUCUUCUCUAUUAGGUUGACCUGUAUUGGGAAUGAAGCUGUGUCUGGGGGGAGGGGGGUCUGGUUGAUAAGGUGCACACCCAGAAACACGACCCAGAGUGGGAGCAACUGGCCCUUGUCUAAGUCUCUAACUACCCUACUGGGGCUUGUAGCUCAGUGGUAGAGCACUUGCCUCUAACAUUAGUAAGAUGCUGGGGUUCCAUCUCUAGCUGUUUAAACAAUAUAUGAAAAUCCUUUUACCAAUAAAAAAAUCUAAAAAGAGGGAAACAAUCUCAAAGAGCAAAAAGGUUCUCCACACUUCCAGACCAGGAAACAUAGAACCAUGUUCCUCCCUGGGCCUUGACUCCAGGAUGCUUCUCUUUGCUCAGAUUCCAAACAGAAGCCAUCUAUGACCACAUCAUAAAAGCAGAAAAGUCAGGGAACCCUCUCGGGGCUUCAGUUUCUCUCUCAGUCCCUCAGAAGUAAGGCAGGACCUCAAGCUCCUGUUGCCCACCCCAAACCCUGCCUCACACACUGGGAUCCAAAAGGCAAAUUUGCUCCCCCACAGCUAUGGCUCUUGGGGUGGCUGAGGGCACCUGAGAGCUAUGGGAGGUUAGCAGAGCUGACCAGAUACCCACAAUGAUUAGUGGAGUGUCAGGGAGCCAGACUGGAGCCAUAGUUUCAACUCGGAGCAGCGAAGCAGUGAUGGAUUCACAUGACCGUAAGUAGCAAAGCUGAGACUCAAACUCAGGCUUCUCCAGUCUCUCACUUAAAAAUGGGUCUACUUGGGGGCUGGAGAGAUGGCUCGGCGGUUAAGAGCACUGUCUGCUCUUCCAGAGGUCCUGAGUUCAAUUCCCAGCAGCCACAUGGUGGCUCACAACCAUCUGUAAUGGAAUCUGAUGCCCUCUUCUGGUGUGUCAGAAGACAGUACAGCAUACUUAUACCUAAUGAAUAAAUAAAUUAAAAAAAAUGGGUCUAUUUCUCCA
ensembl:lncRNA